AUACGAAGGGUGCAAGCGUUAAUCGGAAUUACUGGGCGUAAAGCGCGCGUAGGUGGUUUUGUAAGACAGAGGUGAAAUCCCCGGGCUCAACCUGGGAACUGCCUUUGUGACUGCAAGGCUAGAGUACGGCAGAGGGGGAUGGAAUUCCGCGUGUAGCAGUGAAAUGCGUAGAUAUGCGGAGGAACACCGAUGGCGAAGGCAAUCCCCUGGGCCUGUACUGACGCUCAUGCACGAAAGCGUGGGGAGCAAACAGGAUUAGAUACCCUGGUAGUCCACGCCCUAAACGAUGUCAACUGGUUGUUGGGUCUUCAUUGACUCAGUAACGAAGCUAACGCGUGAAGUUGACCGCCUGGGGAGUACGGCCGCAAGGUUGAAACUCAAAUGAAUCGACGGGG
rnacentral:rRNA from 1 species